UAGGGAAUCUUCGGCAAUGGACGAAAGUCUGACCGAGCAACGCCGCGUGAGUGAAGAAGGUUUUCGGAUCGUAAAACUCUGUUGUUAGAGAAGAACAAGGACGUUAGUAACUGAACGUCCCCUGACGGUAUCUAACCAGAAAGCCACGGCUAACUACGUGCCAGCAGCCGCGGUAAUACGUAGGUGGCAAGCGUUGUCCGGAUUUAUUGGGCGUAAAGCGAGCGCAGGCGGUUUCUUAAGUCUGAUGUGAAAGCCCCCGGCUCAACCGGGGAGGGUCAUUGGAAACUGGGGGACGGGAGUGCAGAAGAGGAGAGUGGAAUUCCAUGUGUAGCGGUGAAGUGCGUAGAUAUAUGGAGGAACACCAGUGGCGAAGGCGGCUCUCUGGUCUGUAACUGACGCUGAGGAUCGAAAGCGUGGGGAGCAAACAGG
rnacentral:rRNA from 1 species